UACGUAGGGGUGCGAGCGUUUUUUUUUUUUUGCCGGGAAUUUUUAUUUUGGGGCGUAAAGAGCUUUUGUAGGCGGUUUUGUCGCGUUCUGCUGUGAAAAUCCGGGGCUCAACCCCGGACUUUGCAGUGGGGUACGGGGCAGACUAGAGUGUGGUAGGGGGAGACUGGAAUUUCCUGGUGUAGCGGUGAAAUGCGCAGAUAUCAGGAGGAACACCGAUGGCGAAGGCAGGUCUCUGGGCCACUACUGACGUGGAGAAGCGAAAGCAUGGGGGAGCGAACAGG
rnacentral:rRNA from 1 species